CUAUGUGCAUGUAUAUGCAUAUGGCCAUCAGGCAGCCUGAAGAGCAGCUCUAGCAGAGCAGCAUUUUACUCCUGAGAAGAGUAAAGGAAACAGGACAGCGGAUGAUGUAGCUCAGGGGUCAGCAACAUCUUCCAGCAGGGGAACCAGAACGACCCAGCUUGAAUCACAGGUUCUGCUGGAACAGAGUUUUCAACCACAAUAUCAACAAUGUACUUCUUCAAUGACAGGUGUUCCUGCAGAAGAUAGAGAAAUAUUGUCUACUGAAUAUGAAGAUGGUUAAGACACUGCACCUGAAGAACAUUGACGCUAUUUAUCAAAUGGCUGAAAAAUGAGCAAACAAAUGGACAGAGAACAGUCUUUUGGUCCGAUCAAAGUCAGUGAUUAAGAAAAUAAAUUUAAAGCAAAGAAAAUAUGUUAAUUAAAAAGACAAGAAAACAAUACCAGAUGGUACCUCAGUUGUCAUAUCAACUUCAAAAAAAAUUCUUGCACACUGAAAAUUAAUUAGGAUGAAGGCCUAUAUUUGGUAAAAUCAGAAAAGCCUUUUCUUCUUUUUCUUUUUAGGUAACUUAUUAUGAUAAUGGAACAUUUAAUCUAUGAACACUUCUAUGAUGCAAUGAAAGAAAGUUUGCUGUAAAUUUCUCAUGAUGAUGAGUAAAGACCAGUUAUGCCAUUCUCAACAAACUGAAAUUUAUGUAAAACACUUUCUACUAGAUUAAAAGCAAAUUUAUACACAGCAGUAAAGACUCAAUACAUUUUUCUCAAAGCAAAAACUUGGCCAAUAAGAGAACUCCCAUAUUAUAUCUGCUAUGUAUACCUUUCUUCAUACAGCUAAAAAUGAAUGCUGGGUUAUCAUGUAACCAGAGACAAGAUAUUAACGUUUUCACAUGCCCAUGACUGCAUUUUGAUUUAAUAAUGGAAAAUUUAGGAUCAUAUUUGGUACUAGGAUAUUCAGCUGAGACUCCUACAAUAUCCUACAAUAUCCUACAUUAUAGAGGCCGCACUCAUGGAAAAUUUGUUUGGAGUAGGGCUGCUAACAUCAAAUUCCCAUAAUUUCUGUUUUAGGUAGGAACACAGCAAGUAUAGGCCCAAAAAUUUAGUGCUGAGAAGAAAGGAGAUUGUCCAAAUCAUUUGGAGAUCUGCUGAAUGCCUAAUUCAGGCUCUGCAAGCCAGCUUCGUAACAGGUAGUUAAAGCUGUCCUCCCCGUGAGAGCAGUACUACAAAUACUGCUUGCUCUCCUCCACAGAUGACUCCCUAUUAGGUUCAGCUGUUAUUGUGCCAGUUGGAGUGAACAAUCUCCUAGUGUCUGACCAUGAAAAAGUGAGUCAUUCAGUCUUGUGUCCUCUUUUUGAUAACACCUAUCACACCUCACUUGCCUCAUUAUGGAGGCAGAUAGAUGAGAUACAAAAAGGGAAAGAGCUGUGACCCAACAUCAACAUGCGGAUCUUGGAUUGGCUUCAAGUCAUCUCAUGACUUUCUUAUUUACUGGAAGAUUGUCAUCCAUGUAUUGAGGGACUGCUGACAGUCACCUGGCCUGAUGAAUCUGCUUUCUGAAUUCAGUCUUUCAACAUGUCAAAAACAGGUUCUCUUCUGUCCUCACCCUUUCUCAGAAACACCUCUGAUUCUCUAGGACAGAAGGCAUUAUUAACUGAUAUGAGCCCAUUAUACAAUUGGAAUUAAUCGGAGCUCUUCCACUGACUUUCAUGGGCUGUAGGUUGGGCCAUAACAGUUUCUUGUAUUUUCUGCUUAAAUUUCUUUGUUGCAACACUGUUAGAGAUGUGAUAUUAAGUCAGACAGACUAGUGAUCUAAUCUCAUGUGGAAGCUCAUGUACUCCUACAUAAAAAGAAAUAUAAAACAUAUUUCAUAAUUA